UAUCAGUAAUCUUAUCCCAGCAAUACUGCACUGCCAUUUUUGUGGACACCUAAUCAGCAGAAGAAAGCAGCAUCUCUCUCUGCUUGAACAAGCGAAGCACAUUAGAAGUAUGAUCCACGUCAGCUGAAUAUGAGAGCUGUGUGGUUAUGAUGCAGCCUGAAUACUGUGUGGGGUCCUGUCGUUAAGAAGAAUUCAUUCAACAUCUGCUGGCAGUAUAGAAUUCUCUCUUUGCUACAAGGAAAGACAAGGCCCAGUGUUCACUCUGAUCGGACUUGGCUGAGAAGCUUAAGGUCCUGUUUGGUCUUUAUAAUUCAGUUAAAAGGUCACAUCUUCCUUGCCCAGGAGAUAGAUUCCUCUGGACUCACGUUUUUUGUCCAAGGAAAAGCCUCCUGGUCAAACCACUGGAAAUACACAAGACUGUCCCGUGUGGGACACAUAUACUGCUCAGUAUCUGCUGACACGCAUGUCAUGCCUCUGUAAUGUCUGUAUUGCCUUGUCUGUGAGGUACAGUAUCUCCAAAAAAGACACCACAAAAUAACUACAUUCAUCCAUAAAAUGUCUCCGCCAUGCACAUCUAUUAAUGUGCAGUUUCGAAAAAAAACUCAUUACAGUAUUUCAGAACAGGAUAUCGGGUACUAUACCGAUCUAAAGAAAACUGGCAGACAAGCUUUUUGACUAUCUUACACCUCCUGGCUCCAGAUUUCCUUUAGAGAGUGAAAUUGUCUUCACUCCUUCACUUGCUCUUUCCUGUCAAUAACCAA